rnacentral:rRNA from 1 species
CCUGGUUCAGGAUGAACCGCUUGCUUUAGGCUUACCCCAUGCAAUUCGGAGGGGCAGGGGGCGAAUGGCACCACUUGCUGUCGGCGCCCGGCGCAAUGGUGAGUAACACGUAUGCAACCUGCCCCCUUCUGGGAGAUAACCCAUUGAAAAUGUGGCCUAAUAUCCCAUAGUCGGCCCAGCCGCAUGGCCGGGCCGGGAAAGGCGAGCCGGAAGGGGAUGGGCAUGCGGCGCAUUAGCUAGUUGGCGGGGCAGAGGCCCACCAAGGCGACGAUGCGUAGGGGUUCUGAGAGGAAGGUCCCCCACAUUGGUACUGAGACACGGACCAAACUCCUACGGGAGGCAGCAGUGAGGAAUAUUGGUCAAUGGGCGGGAGCCUGAACCAGCCAAGUCGCGUGAGGGAGGAAGGUCCUACGGAUUGUAAACCUCUUUAGCCGGGGAGCAACGUGCGCCACGCGCGGCGCAGUGAGAGUACCCGGAGAAUAAGCAUCGGCUAACUCCGUGCCAGCAGCCGCGGUAAUACGGAGGAUGCGAGCGUUAUCCGGAUUUAUUGGGUUUAAAGGGUGCGCAGGCGGCGCGAAAAGUCAGCGGUCAAAGUUCCGGGCUCAACCCGGUGACGCCGUUGAAACUUUCGAGCUGGAGUUCGUGCGAGGGAGGCGGAAUGCGUUGUGUAGCGGUGAAAUGCAUAGAUAUGACGCAGAACCCCGAUUGCGAAGGCAGCUUUCCAGCACGCGACUGACGCUGAGGCACGAAAGCGUGGGGGGCGAACAGGAUUAGAUACCCUGGUAGUCCACGCAGUAAACGAUGAUUACUCGCUGUUUGCGAU